rnacentral:rRNA from 1 species
GAUGAACGCUGGCGGCGUGCCUAAUACAUGCAAGUCGAGCGAACGGACGAGAAGCUUGCUUCUCUGAUGUUAGCGGCGGACGGGUGAGUAACACGUGGAUAACCUACCUAUAAGACUGGGAUAACUUCGGGAAACCGGAGCUCAUACCGGAUGAUAUUUUGAACCGCAUGGUUCAAAAGUGAAAGACGGUCUUGCUGUCACUUAUAGAUGGAUCCGCGCUGCAUUAGCUAGUUGGUAAGGUAACGGCUUACCAAGGCAACGAUGCAUAGCCGACCUGAGAGGGUGAUCGGCCACACUGGAACGGAGACACGGUCCAGACUCCUACGGGAGGCAGCAGUAGGGAAUCUUCCGCAAUGGGCGAAAGCCUGACGGAGCAACGCCGCGUGAGUGAUGAAGGUCUUCGGAUCGUAAAACUCUGUUAUUAGGGAAGAACAUAUGUGUAAGUAACUGUGCACAUCUUGACGGUACCUAAUCAGAAAGCCACGGCUAACUACGUG